rnacentral:rRNA from 1 species
GGAAUUUUCCGCAAUGGGCGAAAGCCUGACGGAGCAACGCCGCGUGAGGGAUGAAGGCCUCUGGGCUGUAAACCUCUUUUAUCAAGGAAGAAGAUCUGACGGUACUUGAUGAAUAAGCCACGGCUAAUUCCGUGCCAGCAGCCGCGGUAAUACGGGAGUGGCAAGCGUUAUCCGGAAUUAUUGGGCGUAGAGCGUCCGCAGGCGGUCUGUCAAGUCUGCUGUUAAAGCGUGGAGCUUAACUCCAUUUCGGCAGUGGAAACUGACAGACUAGAGUGUGGUAGGGGCAGAGGGAAUUCCCGGUGUAGCGGUGAAAUGCGUAGAUAUCGGGAAGAACACCAGUGGCGAAGGCGCUCUGCUGGGCCAUAACUGACGCUCAUGGACGAAAGCCAGGGGAGCGAAAGGGAUUAGAUACCCCAGUAGUC